rnacentral:rRNA from 1 species
AUACGGAGGAUGCAAGCGUUAUCCGGAUUUAUUGGGUUUAAAGGGUGCGUAGGCGGGACUGUAAGUCAGGGGUGAAAUACUGCAGCUUAACUGUAGCAUUGCCUUUGAAACUGCCGUUCUUGAGUACAGUUGAGGUAGGCGGAAUGUGGUGUGUAGCGGUGAAAUGCAUAGAUAUACCACAGAACGCAGAUUGCGAAGGCAGCUUACUAAGCUGUUACUGACGCUGAGGCACGAAAGCGUGGGGAUCAAACAGGAUUAGAUACCCUGGUAGUCCACGCUGUAAACGAUGAUUACUGGUUGUUAGCGAUAUAUAGCUAGUGACUGAGCGAAAGCAUUAAGUAAUCCACCUGGGGAGUACGUCGGCAACGAUGAAACUCAAAGGAAUUGACGGG